rnacentral:miRNA from 1 species
AUAUAUAUAUAUACACACACACACACACGUGUGUGUGUGUGUAUAUACAUAUAU